UCCACUGUGCCCCCUAGGCUUGGGUGCCGCCCCCCUAGCCACCCCAGCUCCUAGGAAUGAUUGGAAUUCCAGGAGUAUGAUCCUUAGGUGCCCUGGGCGGCUCAUCCCUGGGAGGUGGGCAGGGUGUGGGGGUGGCCUCUGCACCCUUUGAUCCCUUGUUGAGUCUGCCUUCCCUUGCCUGCUUGGGCCCCUAGACGAGCACUGCCCUCUCUAGCAAACCCAAGGGCAUCCUGCUUGGCACCUGUCCCCCUCCAAGGGUCCAAAGGCAAGGGCCCUACCAGCUGGCACCCCCUGCAGAGGCCCUCCUUCCUGCCGCAGGCAUAAACCUUUCUUUGCCCAGAGGUCUCUACCAGCAAAGAGGAUAAAAGAGACUACACCUGGACAAACCCUCCCAGGCCCAGGCCUGAGCCUCACAUGUGGCCCCGGGGAAGGCAUCAGGGACUCCCUUUGCCCUCCCACUGACCUCCCUGCAAACCUCCCCCAAACCAAGGGGCAUCCUCAGCUGGCCAGACCCUGGGGGAAGGGAGAGAGCCGAGGAUCACCGGCACCUGUGGCUGGGUUACCCCUGCCAUGGACCACUGGGUGAUCAAGAAGUCAUUCCAAAAUGUGAAGCGUUCUGAAGAUAUGCACAUAGCGUAAGAACCUGGUGUAAUGUGCUGGUCAAGGCGGUCUCAGAGAGGAGAUGACGUUUGAGCUGACACCUGAGGGAUGAGAAGAAAGCAGCCAUUCCCAGGGCCCAGGGGAGGCAUCCCAGGAAGCCGGAUCAGCAUGAGCAAAAGCCCUGAGGCCUGGCACAAGUUGGUCUGCUUGAGAAGCAGGAGAGAGCCCUGAGCAUCCGGAGUGCAGCAAGCGAGGUGCACAGAGGAGCAGGAAGGGGCUGGGAGAAGGCUGGGGCCGGAUCAUGCAGGACAGGCUGGAGGAAGGGGCUUGAAUUGUCUUCUGACCACUGAGGGGAUAUAAACAUGAGGGCAAAAUCAUCUGAUUUCCAUGUGCAAAGGCCCACUCUGGCUGCUCUAGAGAGAACAGAUGAUUGCAGGGUAAAAGUGGAUUUAGAGAGGUCAGAUGGAGGCUGGGUACGUGCCGUGUAUGGUAGAUAGCAUGCUACCAAAUACACUCACAGAUGAGCAAGUCAAGAUGCAGAAGGACUCUCUGGCUUGUCCAAGGUCACACGGCUGUUAGGAGCAGAGCAGCGUCCUGGUGCCCAAGCCCUGAGGUCCCCAGCACACUGCCUCUGCAAUGGCCACAACUGUCCAAAGACUAAGCUGACUCUCACACCUGGUAGUGUCUGUGGUCAUUCACUGUGGAUGGAAGUGGAGAAAUGCAGAAAACAGAAACACAGCUUCCCCUUUUCUGUCAUAUUUCUGUAUCGUUGGUGUUUGGAGCCAGUUGAGCACAAAGGGCCCCUGAGUGCUGUUUCCUUGUGAUAUUUGGGGGUUAACAGCUUCCCCUCAUCUCUUAAUUACCUGCCCUCCUUCACUUCAGCUGCACAUUCGUUAAAGAAUGCUCUCCCAGGAGAAGAGCUUGGUGUUAUCACCCACAAACAUCUUAGAAAACUAAUGCUAUCCUUGAGUGCCUGUUUACAGAAACAUUUGACACUCUUCCUUUUCUGAUCCCCAAGCAGACAGUGAUGAAACCCCAAUAGCUGGGCGAAUACUCAUCCAACAGGAAGAAUCAGUUUUAAGAGCUGGGUUCUCAGGGUCAAAUACUGUGGUGUGGCCUUUUGGUUGUAAUGAGUUGAAUGGAGGUCUCAAAAAAGAUAUAUCCAUGUUCUAAUCCCCAGAACUUGUGAAUGUGACCUUAUUUGGAAAAAGAGUCCUUUUGGAUGUAAUUAAGUUAAGGAUUUUGAGAUAAGGAGAUCAUCCUGGGUUAUCUGGGUGGACCCUAAAUCUGUUGACAAUGUCCUUAUGAGAGACCCCAGAGGGCACAGACAGGAAAGGAAGAGGCAAUGUGGCCCCAGAGGCUGAGAUCAGAGCUCUGUGGCCACAAUUCGAGGAACACCUGGAGCCACCAGAAGCUGGAGGAGGCAAGGAACAGAUUCUCCCUGAUCCUCUGGAUACAGAGGGAGAAUAGCCUGGCCGACACCUUGAUUUUGGACUUCUGGCCCCCAGAACUGAGAAAAUUAACUUCUGUUGUGUUAAGCAGCCACGUUUGUAGCAGUUCAUCAUAGCAGCCCUGGGAAAGAAAUACAGUGGGCUUCCAGUUCAAGGAGGAUCCACGAGGCCUGAGCUCCAUCUGUCGAUUGGAAUCACCAAAAUCAAGGUUGUGUGCGGGUAACGCCAGCACAAGCAGCUCAUGCUGGCAAAAGCAGACCAAACCGGCUCACGCAACGUCAAGUCAUCUUGAAGUGGUUCACGCACCACAGUGAGUGGUAUUGAUUGUGGUUAAGAGCCAGGUUCAAGGAGGUUUAUCACUCAGUAGCCAGGUAAAGCAGGUUCCAGGCCUGGCUCCACCACUCAACAACCGGGGAAACAGGGGAGCAGACCUGCAGAGGGGCCAGAAGACACCUGGCCGGGUGGGGAGCAGCCCCUCCGUAAUAACAAUCGGAACCUGGGAAGAUAAGUAGAGUCCCAGGGGAGGGACAGAGUUUCCCCUGUGUCACCACAUGGCUACUUUGACACAAAUGCACGUGGGCAGAGAGAGGCAUGCAGGUCAAGGGCCUGGCAGGGAGUCAGGGGCCCUCAGUGCCAGUCCUGGCUCUGCCUCUGCCUCUGACACGCCAUGUGACCUUGAGCAAGUCACCACCCUGUCUGGGCUUCGCUAACCCAUAUACGGAAUGAGAAGGUAUCGUCCCUGGUCACUGCAGGUUUUAAAUCAUGUAGUGAGAGAGAGCUCAUUUGGUCCAACUCUCUGCAACUGAAGGAAUGGAGACACCAAGGGGGAGUAAUCGGCCGCAGUGAUGAGUGGGUGGCAAAGGGAGCUAUCACUACCAUUGAUUAUCCAGCUACUUGUGCUUGAUAAACUCCCUCCUGGUGGAAUGGGCUUUCCCACAUCCAGCAGCACAAAUGCUGUGAGCAUCUACUACGGGCUGGGCACCUUCUCUGGGCUGGCACUUGACAUGGGUUAUCUCAUUUAACUCCCUAACAACCCUAUGUGGUAUUAUCAUCCCCAUUUCACAGGCGGCAAAACUGAAUCCCAGAGAGAAGACUCACUCAGACACAGCUAUCUGAACACUCUUUUCCAGUUCCCCUAGGGCAGCAGAGGAAGCAAGGUGGGGGGAAGCCAGUGGUCAAGGAUUCCAUGCGGAAUGUACCCUAGAAUUAACCCAUGGAGAGAGGGUAAGGGAACGGGCUCAGGCCUGGGAAGAAGUGGGGAGGACAGUGUCCUGUUGACCUAUUCAAAAACAUCCAGUUUUAGUUAAUUUUUAGUUCAUUAGUCACCACUUUUUAUUAGUAUCUCAUGUAUUCUUUCACAGUUUCUUUCUGCAGGUACAAAAAUAAUGAUUUUUUUUCUUUCUUUUUCUUCUUUGAGACAGGGUCUCGCUCUGUUGCCCAGGCUGUAGUACAAUGGUGCAAUCUCGGCUCACUGCAACCUCUGCCUCUGGGUUCAAGCGAUCCUUUGCCUCCGCCUCCUGAGUAGCUGGAAUUACAGGCAUGCACCAUGAUGCUUGGUUAAUUUUUGUAUUUUUAGUAGAGUCAGGGUUUUGCUAUGUUGGCCAGGCUGGGCUCCAACUUCUGGUCUCAAGUGAUCCACCCGCCUCGGGCUCCCAAAGUGCCAGGAUUACAGGCGUGAGCCACUAUGCCUGGCCAAAAGUGGCGAUGUGUUCUUAAUGCCCAUUUUCACAUAAAAGGUAAUAAUCUACCCACACCAUGCUGUACCUUGUUUGUUUUUUGUGUGUUUGUUUGUUUGUUUUUUGACAGAGUCUUGCUCUGUCAGCUAGGCUAGAGUGCAGUGGCACAAUCUCAGCGCGCUGCAACCUCCGCCUCCCGGGUUCAAGCGAUUAUCCUGCCUCAGCCUGCUGGGUAGUUGGAAUUACAGGAGCCUGCCACCAUGCCCAGCUAAUUUUUGUGCUUUUAAUAGAGAUGGGGUUUCACCAUGUUGGCCAGGCUGGUCUCGAACUCCUGACCUCAAGUGAUCCAUCCACCUUGGCCUCCCGAAGUGCUGGGAUUACAGGCGUGACCCACCGCGCCUGGCUCUUGUUUGUUUUUUUAACUAAUCACACAUCUUAGAGACCUUUAUCAGUAAUUAGAGAGCUUCCUGGAUCUUUUAUAUCACUGCAUAAUAAAUAUUCUAUUAUAUAGAUUAGAAUAAUUCAAAUUACCAGUUCCCUAUUGGUGGACAUUUGUUUCUGGUUUGUUUGUUUUUUCUAUUUUUUUUCUUAUCACAAACAGUGCUGCAAUAAGUAAUUGUGCAUAUGCACUGUUUCACAUGUGUGCAGGUAUACCUGCAGGAUAAAUUCCCAAAAAUGAAUUCCUGAUUUAAGAGUAUCUUUUUUUUUUUGAGACAGGGUCUUGAUCUGUUGCCCAGGCUAAAGUGCAGUGGCAUGAUCACGAUGCACUGCAGCCUCAGCCUCCUGGGCUCAAGCGAUCUUCCCACCUCAGCUUCCCAAGUAGCUGGGACUACAGGCAUGUGGCACCACGGCUGGUUAAUAUUCUCAGUGUAACAGAGUUUCAUCACAUUGCCCAGGCUGGUCUUGAACUCCUGGGCUCAAGCAAUCCUCCCACCUCAGCAUCCCAAAGUGCUGGGAUCACAGGCAUGUGCCACCAUGCCUGGCAGGUUGAAAGUACUGUAUGAGUUAUCUAUUGCUGCAUACCAGAUUAUCAUAAACUCAGCAGUUUAAAAAAACACCCAUUGUUUAGCUCACAGUCUCACCUGAACUGGGUGCUGAGUUCAGGGUGAAACCAAGGUGGCGGCCAGGCUUGGUUCUUUUUUGGAAGCUCUGGGGGGAAAAUCUACUUCCAAGGCCAUUCUUGUUGUUGGCAGAAUCUGGAUCCUUGUGGUUGUAGAACUGAGUCUCUGGUUUCUUGCAGGCUUCCAGGAGGGGCCUCCCUGGGCUCCCGGAGGACACCCACAGUCCUCACCAUGCAGCUCCCUCCAACAUCAAGCCAGGAAUGGCCGAACAGAUCUUUCUCAUGCUUCAAAUCUCUGAUGAAUUUCUCUUGCCAGAGAAAGCUUGCCAUUUUCCAAGGGCUCACCCAGUCAGAUCCGUCCAACAAGGGUGAUCUCCCUAACAUUAGGUUAACUGACUUGGAACCUCAGUUAAUCUGCAAAAUCCCUUUUGUCAUAUAAUGGAAUACAAUCAUUUGGUUCACAUGCUCAUCUUAUUCACAGGCCCUACACUCAUACAAGGGCAGGGGACCACAGAAGAGUGAAGGCCAGUGAGGGUCACCUCAGAAUUCUGCCCAACACCGGUGUUUUGUAAUUUGGGUAGAUGUUGCCAUGUUGUCCUCCGUGGGGAUUAUGCAGAGGGAACUCUCCUCCUCCAGCAACAGUACAUGUACCUGCUUUUCCAUGGUGCUGCUUAGAGAAUGUUAUCAAACCUUUGGAUUUCUGCCAGUCUGAUAGGAGAAAAAUGGAAUCUCAAUUGUAUUUUAAAAUUGUAAUUAUCGCCUUAUGAAUAAGGCUGAGCAUUUCCUCAAAAGCAUAAGAGCCAUUUAUAUACUUUUUUCUUUAUGGCUUCUGGUUUUGAGGCAUAGAAAGGUCUUUCUAGCUCUAAAGUUAAUCAGAAAUUCUCUGUUUUCUUUUUGCUUUUUUUAAAAUUUUACUUUAAGUCCUUGGAUACAUGUGCUGAACGUGCAGGUUUGUUACAUAGGUAUACAUGGGCCAUGGUGGUUUGCUGCACCUAUCAACCCGUCAUCUAGGUUUUAAGCUCCACAUGCAUUAGGUAUUUGUCCUAAUGCUCUUCCUCCUCUUUCCCCAUGCCCCCAACAGGCCCCGGUGUGUGAUGUUCCCCUCCCUGUGUCCAUGUGUUCUCAUUGUUUAGCUCCCACUUAUGAGUGAGAACAUGCAGUGUUUGGUUUUCUGUUCCUGUGUUAGUUUGCUGAGGAUGAUGGUUUUCAGCUUCAUCCAGGUCCCUGCAAAGGACAUGAACUCAUUCUUUUUUAUGGCUGCAUAGUAUUCCAAGUUGCAUAUGUGCCACAUUUUCUUUAUCCAGUGUAUCAUUGAUGGGCUUUUGGGUUGCUUCCAAGUCUUUGCUAUCGUAAGUAGUGCUGCAAUAAACAAAUGUAUGCAUGUGUCUUUAUAGUAGAAUGAUUUAUAAUCCUUUGGGUAUAUACCCAGUAAUGGGAUUGCUGGGUCAAAUGGUAUUUCUAGUUCUAGAUCCUCGAGGAGUCGCCACACUGUCUUCCACAAUGGUUGAGCUAAUUUACACUCCCACCAACAGUGUAAACGUGUUCCUAUUUCUCCACAUCCUCACCAGCAUUUGUUAUUUCCAGACUUUUUAAUGAUUGCCAUUCUAACUGGCAUGAGAUGGUAUCUCCUUGUGGUUUUGAUUUGCAUUUCUCAGCUCAUUGCAACCUCUGCCUCCCAGGUUCAAGCAAUUCUCCUGCCUCAGCCUCCAGAGUAGCUGGGAUUACAGGGGCACGCCACCAAGCCCAGCUAAUUUUUGUAUUUUUAGCAGAAACAGGGCUUCACCAUGUUGGCCAGUCUGGUCUCAAACUCCUGAUCUCAAGUGAUCCAUCCACCUCAGCCUCCCAAAGUGCUGGGAUUAUAGGCGUGAGCCACCACGGCUGGCCAUUCUCCUGUGUUUUCUUCUGGGGCUUUUAUACUUUCAUUUUUUAAAAUCCAUAGUUUCUUGGAGCUGGAGGUGUCCCUUGUCAUUUUCUCAUCAGUGAGUGCAAAGCAGGAUCCCAAAAGGAUUGGAGUCCAGAGUAGAGAAAGGAGCUGCCGCGGUGGAGUCUGUUCAGUGCAGGCUCUGAUCUCCUUCAGCCCUGCCAGGAAUCCCAGCCAGCAGAUCUUCUUCCAGCUUCCCUUUCUCCAGCACUCUUGAUCUUCUGGGCUGGCACAGGGUCCAGGGUUGAUGGGGAUCCUAGCUGCCUGAGGAGCUUCCAGUCUGGAGGGUGAUACAAGCACAUGGCCAGACCUGAAUUCAAGCCAUGAGAGAGAUUCAGAACCUGGGCUGGGAGCGCAGGGGAGGGAGCGGGGUGCUGAUGGGGGUGGAUGGGAGGCUCCAGAGAGGAGGUGGCGUCUGAACUGAACCUUAAGAAUGAGGGGAAAUGUAAUGGCAGCGAUGAGAAAGGGGAGGCACUUCAGUGCAGAGAACAGCAAGAGCAAAGACAAGGAGGUGGAAAAUCAGCCAGAAACCUAGCCUGGAGAGGGUUUAGUGGACCAUGGGUCCUUGAUGGUAGAGACACAACAUGACUUAUCUCUGUGUCCCAUCCUCUGUGCCAGAGGCGGCAUCGACCAGACUUGGACAAAUGAAGCAGAAGGGACAGGGGACUUAGAAUACUAGGCUGCAUCAUUUUCUUUUUACUCUGACAGUGAGAAGCAAAGACCUCCACAAAGAAAGAAGCCCUUGGCUGUGUCAUCAUUUUAGAAUCUGGGCACUCUCUGCACACCACUGCCCCCUCAUGGCUGAUCUAGGAAUUCUCUCUAAAUCCCAGACUGAAGGUGAGGAGGAGGCUCAGUGAGUCUUAGAGAUUUGAAAAGCCGUGAAAUCCUGGUUGGAGAACAUCUGAGUCCAAAGGGCCCUCAGAGACUCUCUGACUUCCUCAUUA
rnacentral:lncRNA from 1 species